GAAGUAAAAGUCGUAACAAGGUCUCCGUUGGUGAACCAGCGGAGGGAUCAUUACCGAGUUUACAACUCCCAAACCCCUGUGAACAUACCACUUGUUGCCUCGGCGGAUCAGCCCGCUCCCGGUAAAACGGGACGGCCCGCCAGAGGACCCCUAAACUCUGUUUCUAUAUGUAACUUCUGAGUAAAACCAUAAAUAAAUCAAAACUUUCAACAACGGAUCUCUUGGUUCUGGCAUCGAUGAAGAACGCAGCAAAAUGCGAUAAGUAAUGUGAAUUGCAGAAUUCAGUGAAUCAUCGAAUCUUUGAACGCACAUUGCGCCCGCCAGUAUUCUGGCGGGCAUGCCUGUUCGAGCGUCAUUUCAACCCUCAAGCACAGCUUGGUGUUGGGACUCGCGUUAAUUCGCGUUCCUCAAAUUGAUUGGCGGUCACGUCGAGCUUCCAUAGCGUAGUAGUAAAACCCUCGUUACUGGUAAUCGUCGCGGCCACGCCGUUAAACCCCAACUUCUGAAUGUUGACCUCGGAUCAGGUAGGAAUACCCGCUGAACUUAA
rnacentral:rRNA from 1 species